rnacentral:tRNA from 1 species
GGAUUGUGGCUCAGUGGUAGAGCGCUCGCCUAGCACAGCGGGGACAAGGGUUCCAUCCUCAGCACCA